GACGAACGCUGGCGGCGUGCUUAACACAUGCAAGUCGAACGGAAAGGCCCUGCUUUUGUGGGGUGCUCGAGUGGCGAACGGGUGAGUAACACGUGAGUAACCUGCCCUUGACUUUGGGAUAACUUCAGGAAACUGGGGCUAAUACCGGAUAGGAGCUCCUGCUGCAUGGUGGGGGUUGGAAAGUUUCGGCGGUUGGGGAUGGACUCGCGGCUUAUCAGCUUGUUGGUGGGGUAGUGGCUUACCAAGGCUUUGACGGGUAGCCGGCCUGAGAGGGUGACCGGCGACAUUGGGACUGAGAUACGGCCCAGACUCCUACGGGAGGCAUCAGUGGGGAAUAUUGCACAAUGGGCGGAAGCCUGAUGCAGCAACGCCGCGUGCGGGAUGACGGCCUUCGGGUUGUAAACCGCUUUCGCCUGUGACGAAGCGUGAGUGACGGUAAUGGGUAAAGAAGCACCGGCUAACUACGUG
rnacentral:rRNA from 1 species